GAUUUCAACUGAAAAAGUCAUCAACAACAAAUUUGUAUAACUCAUCGAUAUCUAUAACUUUUAUUUUGGUCAUUUCUUCAUCCGACAAAAUGAUAGUAAUAUUGUUUACAAAAUGUACAUAUCUCUCUUAUAGUUUAUAAAACUAAAUGAGAGAUAUGUAAACUUUAUGAACAAUGUUACUAUCACUUUAUCGGAUGAAGAAAUAACCAAAAUAAAAGUUAUAUGUCUUAAUGAGUUCUACAACUUUUAUGUUCAUAACUUUUUCAGCUGAAUA
rnacentral:pre_miRNA from 1 species